UGUUUGAGGGAUUAGGCUAACUUAGCCAUUCUAGUGAGGAAAAGAGUGACUAGUUUGUUCGUGCACCAUUCCCUUAUCCCUCACUAUAUAACAUCCCAACUCCUCAACCAAAAGUGAUUCUUUUAUCCUUCUCAUUCAUGCGAUAGCUCCCCGUCUCUCCGGCGAAAGCCCUAGAAUCCUCCACCUCCGCUUCAAAGAAACCCUAAUCCUACCGCUCAAUCAACUCAACUGCCGAUGGGCGGCGACGGAGCGCCGGCGAUGGGAGCAGCGGCCGAGGGGCAGUACGUGAAGGCCAAGACCGCAGUUUGGUGGGAUAUUGAGAACUGUCAAGUUCCUCGAUCUUGCGAUCCCCACCUGAUCGCCCAGAAUAUAAGCUCCGCGUUGGCGGCCAUGGAUUAUAAAGGGCCGGUGACGAUCUCGGCGUACGGGGACACGAGCAAUAUCCAGAAGGCGGCUCAGCAGGCGCUCUCCAGUACUGGGAUCUCCCUCAAUCAUGUUCCUGCUGGUGUGAAAGAUGCAAGUGAUAAGAAAAUUUUGGUGGACAUGUUGUUUUGGGCAGUGGAUAAUCCGCCUCCGGCAAAUUAUCUUCUUAUUUCUGGUGAUCGGGACUUCUCUAAUGCCCUCCAUCAACUAAGGAUGAGGAGAUAUAAUAUUCUAUUGGCACAGCCUGUUAAUGUAUCCCAAGCUCUGGUUUCAGCUGCAAAGAACGUUUGGCUAUGGGCUAGCCUUCUGAGUGGUGGCCCACCAUUGCUAGAGUCCCCCCAGCUUCAUAACGCAUCAAGUAGUAGCAGGUCAAAUGUGGAGACACCUGCCCGCAGCAUACCAGACGCUUCACAGUCUACUGAUUCUAAUCAAAAGAAUCAUGGUAAUGGGAAGGUUGAUAACCGGAAUAAAGUCAAGCAGAACCGAAAGACUCAGAGCCAGCCGAAUCCUAAUAUAUCUAGAACAACCUCCAAUGGAAGUCAAGAACGUCGUCAACCCAAUGCAAGUUCUAAUGCGUCCAGUCCCAAACAGAACAAUUGUGUGAAACAGCCAAAUCAUGCAUCUGCUUCCACAGUAUCAGGUCUGGGAGCACAAGAAAGUGCUCGUAUGAACAAUGGUAGACCAUUCUGUUCGUUUCCACUCUCUUCACCUCAAAUACUACCGGACUCUAGUAGGUCUAAUACACCAAGUGGAUCUGCAUGCAGUUAUAUUCAACCUCGCCCUGAUAUACCCAUGAACGAUGGAAAUAACUUCCCUAACCCGCAUCACGUGCAAUAUUCUCCGUCACCAAUGCCUAGUGACCUCUUGCAUCCUCAAACAAAUCUUCAACCUUGGAAUUUGAAUUUGUCUGAAUCAAAUUCCACGCACAACUCUUUUCCUCUGUCGUCUGGGACCUAUGGUCCAUCCUUUUCUACAGCACCUACAACCAGGCCAAAUGGUCUGUCCUUUUCUGCAUCACCUGCAAGGCCACUUUACGCCCAUCCUAAUGGCCAGCUGUUUACUUACCUACCUGAUAUGAGUAGGAUUGAUAUUUCAGAAUAUCCUAAUGGUGUGCAUCAAAAUAUGCCUCCAUUUUAUGACAACAACAUGCAUACAUCUAUUCCUUCCAUAAAUAGUAAUGCAGCCAACAAUGUAUUCUCGAGUACCUUUGAACGCCCAGAACCAUCUCAUGCUGCCCAGGCCAUGAUAGGGGUUAUUUUAGGAACCUUACAAAUAUUAAAGACUGAAAAAUUGGCUCCCACUGAAGCUAAUGUAGCAGAUUGCAUACACUACGGAGAUAUGAAACUCAAAACCUUUAACGUUAGAAUGGCCCUGGAUAAUGCUAGUGAGCAUCAGGCUGUUUUGGUGCACAAACUAGGAAACAACUUGCCUCUUUAUGUUGCAAAGACUGAUACACUUUGGAAGUGGAUUAAUAUCCUGGAUAACAAUGCUAAGCAUUCUAAAGCAAAAUAUGAUGCACUUCUAAAAUUCUUGUUGUCUGCUGAUGGACGAGCUGCAAUAUUAAGCUCAGAAUGCAGGUAUCAAGCUGCUGUUAUCCUCAGAAGGUCAUGUUUGAAAAACCUUGUCCUUGGCAAGAUACUGCAGAUUUUGCAUCUAAUAGUCCAUGUCAGAAAGUGGAUUGUGCCGGAUGCUUCUGGAUGGCAGCCCUUAUGUCUAACCCUUCCAUCGGAUUCAAAUGCAAACGUCAAUGAAAGCACUAGCUCUUGAUAUCACACUGCUGCUGGUACAUACAGGGGAAGAUAAAACUUCUAGUAGUACUAUGGGAGUAGAUAAACUGGGCAGAGUAACUUCUAGUAGUACUAGUAGUACUAGGGGAGUAGAUAAAGUGGACGGAGGGCACUGGAGUCGCAGGCGAUACGAUAUCUAGACAUGGAUGUGCAUAUGUCCACGCAUAUGUUAGUUUUUUUCAAGUACAGUAGCAGUGAAGUAGUUUAUAAAUGGCAUGGUGAAGGCUUGUGUCGGAGGUUUCGAGUGACGAGAAAGCUUCUAGUAGUAAUUUUUGAAAUGACAUGAAGGCUGAAGAAUGCUUAUGAGGAAUUGAUUUGAGUAUUGUAACAUCACCUAUAAGGUUAUUGGCAUCCAAGAUUGAAUAGAAGUAUCGCCGUAUCGGAUUACUAUAUAUCAUGAAGGAUGGGGUUAACUGGCUAUUGGCAUCCAAGAUUGAGUAGAAGUAUCGGUUUACUAUACAUCAUGAAGGAUGGGGUUAACUGGCAUCUGCAAGCGGUGAAGAAAGGUUUACUUAAUUUCACUUUCAGUGAAAGCUACGUGUCAUUAUAUAUAAGGUCUAUUUGGAUGAUGGGAACUGUUUCUGUGUUUGGGCUUUAGAAGAACCUGAGCUUAAUGUUGUGUGCAGAUGUGGAUUUUGGCAUC